AAGCGAGAGAGGAGGUGAUCGGGUAAAUGAGUGAAACCCGGACGCGCGAGGUGGCUGCGGGCUAGCGGCUCGCCACCACACCCAGUGCGGUGCCGGACCAGCGUGUGCGAAACACGCAGCCGGCUCAAUCCAACGCAGUCACCCGACCCGCGGGCUGCCGGUACGUCCGGCCGGCUCCUCCUUGAGGAACCCAGCCCGCGGGUCGUCUGCG
rnacentral:sRNA from 1 species